rnacentral:rRNA from 1 species
UGUAGCGGUGGAAUGCGCAGAUAUCAGGAGGAACACCGAUGGCGAAGGCAGAUCUCUGGGCCGUAACUGACGCUGAGGAGCGAAAGCGUGGGGAGCGAACAGGAUUAGAUACCCUGGUAGUCCACGCCGUAAACGUUGGGCGCUAGAUGUAGGGACCUUUCCACGGUUUCUGUGUCGUAGCUAACGCAUUAAGCGCCCCGCCUGGGGAGUACGGCCGCAAGGCUAAAACUCAAAGGAAUUGACGGGGGCCCGCACAAGCGGCGGAGCAUGCGGAUUAAUUCGAUGCAACGCGAAGAACCUUACCAAGGCUUGACAUACACCGGAAACGGCCAGAGAUGGUCGCCCCCUUGUGGUCGGUGUACAGGUGGUGCAUGGUUGUCGUCAGCUCGUGUCGUGAGAUGUUGGGUUAAGUCCCGCAACGAGCGCAACCCUCGUUCUAUGUUGCCAGCGCGUUAUGGCGGGGACUCAUAGGAGACUGCCGGGGUCAACUCGGAGGAAGGUGGGGAUGACGUCAAAUCAUCAUGCCCCUUAUGUCUUGGGCUUCACGCAUGCUACAAUGGCCGGUACAAAGGGCUGCGAUACCGUAAGGUGGAGCGAAUCCCAAAAAGCCGGUCUCAGUUCGGAUUGAGGUCUGCAACUCGACCUCAUGAAGUCGGAGUCGCUAGUAAUCGCAGAUCAGCAACGCUGCGGUGAAUACGUUCCCGGGCCUUGUACACACCGCCCGUCAAGUCAUGAAAGUCGGUAACACCCGAAGCCGGUGGCCUAACCCUU